rnacentral:rRNA from 1 species
GACGAACGCUGGCGGCGUGCUUAACACAUGCAAGUCGAACGGAAAGGCCUGCUUUCCCUUGUGGAUUGCGGGUACUCGAGUGGCGAACGGGUGAGUAACACGUGAGUGAUCUGCCCCCAACUUGGGUAUAAGCCUGGGAAACUGGGUCUAAUUCCCGAUAGGACUGCAGGGUGGUGCCUGUGGUGGAAAACGAUUUUCUAGUGGUUGGGGAUGAGCUCGCGGCCUAUCAGCUUGUUGGUGGGGUAAUGGCCUACCAAGGCGGCGACGGGUAGCCGGCCUGAGAGGAUGGACGGCCACAUUGGGACUGAGAUACGGCCCAGACUCCUACGGGAGGCAGCAGUGGGGAAUAUUGCACAAUGGGCGGAAGCCUGAUGCAGCGACGCCGCGUGGGGGAUGACGGCCUUCGGGUUGUAAACUCCUUUCGACCGCGAGGAAGCCACCUGGUUGGAAGGGUGGUGACGGUAGUGGUAGAAGAAGCACCGGCUAACUACGUG